CCUCGCAGUAGCCCAUGCUCCGAUGGAAACCAAAAAUAUGGGUGCGAUCCCGAAGAGGCUUCCCGCGUACUUGCUACAACCCACGGACGAUCAACAGCCGGGCCCGAGUCGGGCACCGACAACCAAGUCCAACUCGCGCAAUCUAAGACUCGAUCUCAAACUGUGCACCGACGAGGGACAACAGUCGAGCUACUACUACAACUAUCCCUACUACAACCCGCGGGACACAGAUUUUUGAACAGCGUCUCUUCUAAAUCUGUGUAAAAUACACGCAAAAUCUGGAUAACACAGAUCUGUGUAAAAAAAUUACACAGCUUGACGAUCAGUUCUAGCUUUCAAAAUCUGUGUAGUUUCCUGACACAGUUCUGUGUAAAAUAUUACACAGAUUUUUGAACAGCGUCUCUUCUAAAUCUGUGUAAAAUAGAGUUGGCGUCACUGUCGUUCAUUUCCCGCACUUCUGCUGAGCUGAGAAGCAUAUCUUCGCGAGUACAGUAAAAGAGUGAACCAAACUUCCAACUCCUCCGGCAAGAACACCAAGCUUUGAGAUUUUGAGAUUUCCUAGCCAUCGUCGCUACAGGUUCGGACCAGAAAGCCCUCCAGCAAGGAAGCGCCAGCAGAAACAGUAACCUGAUUCGUGAUCUUCCGCCGAUUCGCUGCCCCGAUCCCCGCGACCAAGAAAGGAUUCGCUGCUCCGGUUCCCGCGGCCAAGGAAGGAUUCGCUGCCUCGGUUCCCACGACCAAGGAAGGCCAGCGUUUGCGAUCGCUCGUGCACUACCCAACUUCUUCGAACGUCUCGGCUAGAUUCGGACCAAAAAGUCCUCCGACAAUGAAGCGCCAGCCGAAACAACAACCUGAUUCGGGAUCUUCCGGUGAUUCGCUGCCCCGGUUUCCGCGACCAAGAAAGGAUUCGCUGCUCCGGUUCCCGCGGCCAAGGAAGGAUUUGCUGCCUCAAGAUUGAAUAAAAAAGGUUCAUUGUUUUUGUUUA
rnacentral:misc_RNA from 1 species